CAGCCUGCAUCCGUGCCUGUCUGGGAGCUGAGGGUUUGUGGCCGGCGGCAGGUGCAUGGCUGGUGGAACGCUCCCAGAAGCGAGUUGGAAGGGCUGGAAGGAGAGCUGUCCUCAACGGCACACCAGGCUGGGUGAUUAAUACCGCCCACGCCACGCCUGACGUCAGUGAUCAGACUGGAGGAUAAGAAGGAACUUGAAAAGCAAAGAAGUCAACACUCUCUUCUCCUGUUGCAUCUUAUUUAUUAGGAAUUCCUCAUCUAAAUAAUUUCCUGAUCAACAAAUAUCCUGGGAUAACAUGCAGGUGUGACAAAAAGUAUAUUCCAGAUACUCUCCAAGGCACUUAAGACACAAAGACAAACGUCCUCUCCUGUUCUCAUGGACCUCAUGUUCUAGCAGAGAAGACAAUGACAGCACAAGACAACCAGUAUUUGCAUAUGGUUCCCAAGGAGCAUAAUGGAGGAAGAAUGGAAGCCACGGGCCAACCCUUGGUAUCAUGAGGUGCAACUGAUGUAAACACGUGAAAAUGUAGACAUCCCAGCUGCAUCCUGGAGUGUCGCCACCCUUGAAAUAAAGACUCAUGGCCUCAGA